UACACUUCCUGCCUGGUUACUGGCCAAUCAGCAUUUUAUUAAACCAGUACAACUGACAAACCUUACAGGGUACAAGACCAUUGUCCCACAGCACCUGAAGAUGUUCCAAAGCUCCAAGGCUGCCUUCAGUUCAUAGUCAUCAGAGUGAAUCGCCAUGCUGAGAAACGCAGCAGGGAUCUAUGGGGGCCUCCUGGAAUGCCUCUCACCUUCUGGGCCUGGCAGCUGAAGAUUGACACUGUCCUGGUACCUCUUUCCCCAACAUCGUGGAGACCAGAGGAUCCUGGGAAGACUAUGGGGUCACAGAUGAGAGCCUUGCUCCACCUUAACUAAAGAUUUCAGUAAAGAUUGGUAAUGCUGCCAUAUCUAAAACUUCCUAUCUCUUUGGAAACUGAAAAAUUCAUGUAAGCUUCAGAGAAUUGAGGGAGCCAUAAGUCUUGAAUCCACUUCUCAUAGGUCAAAAGGAUUCCAGGUAAGUACAGCCUAAUUUCUCCUGUCUGUCUAUUCUUGAGGAUGGGAUUCCCCCCUUUCUUUCUCUCUCUCUCUCUCUCUCUCUCUCUCUCUCUCCCUCCCUCUCUCGCUCCUGGCCUUGGGGCUCCCUCCUCUCCCCCAACUACUAAGACCAUGGCCUUAAAGUUCCAAAUGUAAGAUUUUUCUUUAACUUCCUAAAUUUUAACUUUUCCCCUAGUUUAUAUCUGUCUCACCAGAUUUUCACUUGGCUGACACAUCACCUGCUGACUACAGUCUGCUCCGAAUGACUGAGAGCCCUGGACUUGCUGAAAACUGAUGUGAACCAGUGCAGCCUAAAUGAAUGCUCCAUCUCUUCAGCUGGGUCAGCAAUCCCGAUGAAUGCCCCAUUGCCUGAAUUCCCUUCUUGCCUUUGACUAGCAUUCCAGCCUUCCUGGGCCCUGACAACAAAGUCCUAGUUUCAGUAGGAAGUAGUUACAGAAGGAGAGUAAGUUACCCCUUGUUCCCCAACAGACUGGAAUGUUAGAUCAAAAGCAAACUCCCUGGCUUAAACGACAAAAUGGCUACCUAUUGGCAUACCAAGAAAAGUACCUGUUAAAACUGGAUAGACCUAGAUCUAUCAACAGGUAGAUUAAUUAGGAUGUAGGCUUGCCCCUGAUUGGAUCUGAUAGGAAAUACUUAAACUGUUGUAAACUCUAAUUUGGAGCCAUCUUCUGGAAACAUAGAGGUGCAGGGCUGGAGGGAAAGUUUGUCUCCCUCAGCUGGCAAGGGGUAGGGAAGACUGCACUCUGACAGUGGCAGAAGGCCUGGGGGCUUUUCCUAAAUUGUUUCUUUUUCUCAGUAGGCUCAAAAUAGUCCUUUUGCAGCAACAAGCCCCGCUCCCAGUCCUUUUCCUUCCUAUACUCACCACUUCCCUGUGAGUUCUGCCCUCCGUUAAAGUGACCCACAGACCUCCUCCCACACAAAUCGAGUCAAUUACAUCUUCGAGUAUUUACUUCUUUUUGACAGAGGUCUUCGGGCAUGUGCAAAUCAAAGUGGUGAUAGCAAAUGGAAUAUGAUGUCAUUUUCUCUUAUUAAUCUGUCUUUCGUCAUUGUACCUUGAUGUGCUCGUUAGCUUUCUGUCAACCUGGCACAAGCUACAGCCAUCAAGUGUUGGGGACUGUGGACCUCCAGACCCUGAAUUUCCUGCGACCCCCUACCUGCUGGAGUAGGCGGCUUGUUUUCCUAUGUUUGCAGCUCCUCUGAGCACGAGACCCUCAGGAGUUCCUGAUAGCAGAGGAGUGGUUUCUGGUGGGCUUGCAGCUGAGAGUUAGGGCGUGGCCAUUAACCAAGGAGACCCUAUAUAAGCUGCACUGGACCACAAUAAAGGGGACAUUCUUGGCUCUCUCCCUCCCUCUCUCUCUCUCUCUCUCUCUCUCCCUCCCUCUCCCUCUCUCUCCCUCUCCCUCCCUCUCUCUCCCUCUCCCUCCCUCUCCCCUCACUCUCCCUCUCUCCAUCCGUGUGCACGUGCAUGAGUGUGCAUGUUUUUCAAUCUCCAGACCCUUGUCCGACUCAUGAUCCGUACAGUAGCGCAGUAGUGCAUAGAGCAGGUGUUGCGCUGCAAUAAGGAAGAGCAAACCUCAACUGAGAAAAGCCCUCCAUCAAACUGACCCAUAGUCAAGUUGGUGGGCCAUUUUCUUGAUUGACAAUAUGGGAUGAUCCAACCUACUGUGGGUGAUUGCCGCCCCUAGGCAGGUGGUCCCGGGUUGUAUAAGAAAGUAGACUGAGGAGCUGUGGAGAGAUGGCUCAGUGGUUAAGAGUACUGUCUGCUGAGGACCCAG